CUACUAUAUACAUUAUUAUGAUGCUGGUGUCAUCUGUUCAGGUCCAAUCAGAUUAACUGGAUCUGGAUCAAGUCAAUGUUCUGGGAGAGUUGAAGUUUAUCACAGUAACAGCUGGGGAACAGUCUGUGAUGAUGGCUGGGACUUAAAUGAUGCUCAGGUGGUUUGCAGACAGUUAAACUGUGGGUCGGCACUGGAAGUUCCUCAAUCAGUUCACUUUGGUGCAGGAACUGGACAGAUCUGGCUUGACAAUGUGACCUGUUCAGGAAAUGAAAGUUCUCUAACUGAGUGUCAACACAGUGGAUUUGGUUCAAACAGAUGUGAACAUGGUCAGGAUGCUGCUGUCAUCUGUUCAGCUGUGUCCAUCAUUUUAACUGGAUCUGGAUCGACUCGAUGUUCUGG